rnacentral:tRNA from 1 species
GGCGGUAAUAGCUUAGUUGGCUAGAGCGUUUCGGUUUCAUACCCGAAAGGGUCAUAGGUUCGACUCCUAUUACCGCUACCA